CUUUUACUCCCUCCGUCCGAAAAAGCUUGUCCCUCAAAUGAAUGUAUCUAGCACCAAGUUAGUGCUAGAUACAUCCAUUUGAGGAACAAGCUUGGGACAAGCUUUUUCGGACGAAGGGAGUACAAA
rnacentral:pre_miRNA from 1 species